GCUUACGGCCAUACCACCCUUUCUGCACCCGAUCUCAUGUGAUCUCGGAAGCUAAGCAGGGUCGGCCUGGUUUGUACUUGGAAGGGAGACUUCCUGGGAAUACCAGGUGCUGUAAGCU
rnacentral:rRNA from 1 species